GCACUGCUGAUGAGACCCAACUAGAUCGAAACAGCUGUCCAGUGC
rfam:Echinostoma caproni strain Egypt genome assembly, scaffold: ECPE_contig0000164